rnacentral:tRNA from 1 species
GCGCCGUAGCUCAAUUGGACAGAGUGUUAGGUUACAGUACCUAAAGGUUGCGGGUUCGACUCCUGCUGGCUGCG